rnacentral:lncRNA from 1 species
CAUUCUUUUCGUCACAGAGCAGAGCUAAAAUCCAGCCAAAUUCCAUUAUCCACGGGAUGAAUCCCAAACUCGCUCCCAUGUUUCACGUGUCCAUUCCCUUCCAGAUAAGAACCAGAAACCGCUGCCAACUGCUUCCCCUCACGGACUCAACUCCCCUUCUGGAUUAACUUCCCAGCAUUCCAUCUCCUCCCGGCGACUCAACUCUAUCCCAUGAACAGCCUUCGGAUCAGCUUCAUCCCGAAUUCCAUGGAUUAACAGCUUCCCUUCUUCAUCCAAACUUCCAGCUCAUAUUUCCUCCAUUACCGUUCAGCUCCAUUAACAAAAAAAUCCAACUUCCGCAUCCCCUGCUUCGGAACAGAAUCCGAGUCUUCAUCAAUCCCAGUGAACUUCCUUCACCUCAUUCCGUUCCUAGCUCCCCUGUUUCGGAACAACUCCAUCCUCAACCGAAUCCAGACUUCAUC